rnacentral:lncRNA from 10 species
CGUGCUGGGAAGGGUGUUCUGAACAGAGAUAACACUAGCAGAGGUGCAGAGGCAUGAGCCAGCAUGCUAUUUUGAGAAAGUCCUAGCAGUUUAUUGGCCCUGGAUGAAAAAAGAGAGCAGUGGAGAGGAAAGCAAGGUCAAUGGUGUGGUGUCAGGUGGGUCUGGGCUGAUAGAGAGAACUUGGGUUCCACCACAAAGAAGCUAAAAAGCAAAAAGAGGGUGUGUGAUGGGGAAGCAGCCGGCCACAGCGUCCAGGAUCAUGGCUCAAUCCGGAAGACAAUCUUACUUGUUAAUUUGUGUUUUGCUGCCCUGAUAAACAAUCAGGGCUAUAUCUCACCAGAAGAUAAGAGAUCUAUCUGAUGUGGCAGGUGGUAAAAUAGCAUGGCCAAAGGAACAGUAAGACUGUCAAAUUCGGAUUUGAAAGGUGUGGAGCAGAGUGGCCCUUGCUGCACCAUGAUCUUAGGAGAGCCGGGGAAGACACACAGCAAUGGCACACACAGAUUGGUUUCAAGUCACCAAGCUGGUCCAGGCUACAAGUCUCACCAUCCAGGAAAAAUAGCAGCUGUAGCAGUUCCCCUCCUGCCUAGGCUUACCAUGGGGAAGAGCACAAUUCUAGCCCUGCUCCUGGGGUGAUGUCCAUGGUUCUGACUGUGGAGGCCUCAACCCCACUCAAGAGAAGGUGCUCCAAUCUCUGGCCAAAACUACAAUGCCUGUGCAGCCACACUGCCAGGUCACUAAGACCAGCUUAUUCAAGACAGAGGCCUUGUUCAUUCUGUACUCAUCAUUCAAAUCUACUGUGCCACUCUAUAUCUCAAUUAUUGUUGCCAUAUGAGACCAAAGAAAGAACUGCAGAUGCCAAAGCCACUGAAAAGACUAGGAUGCCCUGCUCUCCGCCACCAAAAAAAAAAAAGAAAAAGAAAUAAAAAUAAGACUAAUUCAAAUUAAAUCUACAUUUUUCUGGAUCUUCUAAUAACAGAAUUCUCACUUCUUUUGGUGUCCCUGCCUGGCAAGUAUCCUGACCAUGUACUUAGUCUGCCUAUUAAAAAUUCACACUCUUCAAUUUCACAAGUCCUUGGCAUUUUUCUCUUGGAUUCACAAUAAAACAAAUGCCAGAUCAAGGACAUCCAUCCAAUAAUUUAGUAGGUGGUAAUCUAAUUGAAUGGUGCAGUUAGAGAUUAGCUUUAAAGCUUAAAUUAUGCAGCAAAGACAUUAUUAUUACUUAAGGCUUCAUCUUAAUAAAAGAAGGAUUUGGAGAGCUAGUAGAGAUUUUUGGAGGCUGAAGCUGUUCUCUCAAGCCAUCUGUCAGUGCUGCCACUUUGUGAUGGUUAAUAUCGAGUGUCAACUUGAUUGGAUUGAAGGAUGCAACAUAUUGUUCCCGGGUGUGUCUGUGAAGGUGUUGCCAAAGGAGAUUAACAUUUUAGUCUAUGGACUCGGAGAGGCAGAAUCACCCUCAAUCUGAGUGGGCAUCAUUUAAUCAGCUGCCAGAGUGUCUAGAACAAAGGAGGUAGGAGAAGAUGAAACAGCAGACUUGCUGAGUCUUCCAGCCUUUAUCUUUCUCCCGUGCUGGAUGCUUCUGGCCCUUGAACAUCAGACUCCAGGUUCUUCAGCUUUUGGACUCUAGGACUUACAUCAGUGAUUUGCAAAGGACUCUUGGACCUUUGGCCACAGACUGAAGGCUGCACUGUUGGUUUCUCUACUUUUGAGGUUUUGAGACACGGACUGAUACACCACUGGCUUCCUUUCUCCUCAACUUGCAGACAGCUUAUCAUAGGAUUUUACCUUAUGAUUUUGUAAGUCAAUUUUCUUUAAUAAACUCAUAUAUAUAUAUCCUACUAGUUAUGUCCCUCUAGAGAACCCUGACUGACAUACAGUUUGUGUGGAGAUACACACACACACACACACACACACACACACACACACACACACACACACAAAUGUAUUGCUGGCUGAUCUACUUACCCCUAGCUGUCCUCAUUUUUUUUUUUUUUUUGAGUUGGAGUCUCGCUCUGUCGCCCAAGCUGGAGUGCAGUGGCUGCAUCUUGGCUCACUGCAAGCUCCGCCUCCU